rnacentral:rRNA from 1 species
GACAGAGGGUGCAAACGUUGUUCGGAAUUACUGGGCGUAAAGCGCGUGUAGGCUGCUCUGCAAGUCGGAUGUGAAAGCCCUGGGCUCAACCUAGGAAGUGCACUCGAAACUGCAGAGCUUGAGUCCUGGAGAGGAAGGCGGAAUUCCCGGUGUAGCGGUGAAAUGCGUAGAUAUCGGGAGGAACAUCAGUGGCGAAGGCGGCCUUCUGGUCCAGUACUGACACUCAAGUGCGAAAGCGUGGGGAGCAAACAGG